UACAGAGGGUGCGAGCGUUAAUCGGAAUUACUGGGCGUAAAGCGCACGUAGUCGGCUUUGCAAGUCGGGUGUGAAAUCCCCGGGCUCAACCUGGGAACUGCAUCCGAGACUGCAUUGCUAGAGUAUGGGAGAGGGAAGCGGAAUUUCUGGUGUAGCAGUGAAAUGCGUAGAUAUCAGAAGGAACAUCAGUGGCGAAGGCGGGUCUCUGGGCAGUAACUGACGCUGGAGGAGCGAAAGCGUGGGGAGCGAACAGG
rnacentral:rRNA from 1 species